GACCAGACUCCUACGGGAGGCAGCAGUGGGGAAUAUUGCACAAUGGGGGGAACCCUGAUGCAGCGACGCCGCGUGGGUGAAGGAGCACCUCGGUGCGUAAAGCCCUCUCGGCAGGGAAGAAACAGACGGUACCUGACUAAGAAGCCCCGGCUAACUACGUGCCAGCAGCCGCGGUAAUACGUAGGGGGCAAGCGUUAUCCGGAUUCACUGGGUGUAAAGGGAGCGUAGACGGCGACGCAAGUCUGGAGUGAAAGCCCGGGGCCCAACCCCGGGACUGCUUUGGAAACUGUGUAACUGGAGUACAGGAGGGGCAGGCGGAAUUCCUGGUGUAGCGGUGAAAUGCGUAGAUAUCAGGAGGAACACCGGCGGCGAAGGCGGCCUGCUGGACUGAAACUGACGUUGAGGCUCGAAAGCGUGGGGAGCAAACAGGAUUAGAUGCCCGGGUAAUA
rnacentral:rRNA from 1 species